UAGCUCAUAAACUACAGAAAUAAUAAGUGGUGCAUAUAUAUUGUAUAGCUACAAAUAUUUUACGGUAUCGACCUUUUGAACAACUAACUUGUUCUUUACCGGCAGUUAAUACACGAGAACGAUUUUGAAAAAACUAAAAUUGAAACAAAUACAUAACAAUACUGAAUAGAGAGAAAGAGAUACAGAGAUUGAUUGCACUCCAAAGCAUAGUUAACAUUGUGAAUAAAUCAACAGAUAUAGCUUGUUAAAUAAGGUGGUCAAACCGCUCACAGCAAUAUACUCCACAGUUAAGUAAAUUCCGAUAAAAAUACGGCAAUUAUGUUGCGAUGUACUACUUACUAUUUUUAACAAUAUUCAGAGAGUUGAUCUACCCCGGGUCGGCGACGACGACAAAUUAAGGACAGUAACGGGACUGUGUAUCAAGUGGGGAAGACCAUGGGUAGCUGGUCGGCUGUCUCGCUUAGCGUCGUAUGACAGAUGAUUAUCUACGGUUCACGUCAAAGUGAAUAAUUGGACUUUAGAGGCUGUGUUUGAAAAGAGGGUAGUUUGUUAUGAAAGUUGUAGAUGCUUAUAAAUAUGGAUAAAGCUGUCUCAUGCUUUAACUACCACUAUUAUAAUGUUUUUCUGAAGUAUUAUUUUUAUUACAGAUAGAGGAAAUGUAUUUUCUCUUUGUUACUAUAUUUUUUUAUUAACGGAAUAUAUGUAAAAUCGUUAUUAAAGGUUAAAAAAUAAUCGUGCAUGUUUUUCAGAUAAUUAUAAAUAAAACGAUCGCUGUGAUUAUAGCUCUGAAAAAUACCUAUUUGGUUAAAUUGCUCGUAGUGCUUGCUUCAAGCUCCAUGUCGUACAUUGUAAAAACUUUGAUAAAACUUUCCUUACAGUGCCAAAAAUGAAUAGUGUAGGAAUAUAAUAUAAUAUCGCAGCUUAACUUACUGAAAUUAGAAGUCACUAUCGGACAGUUAAAAAGUUUGUUUAAAUUUAAAACUGUUAUUUUAUGUAUCCAAUUCUAAAUCAUUUUAAAAAUAAAACAUCUAUUCAGUCUGGCCACAAAUACAGUCAUAAUAAAAAACAAAAAUUGUUGUAUUUGAAUUUGGAAUUCUCAUAUGAAUAUUCAUUGUGUUUUCUCAUUUUCGCGCCAAUCUUUGUUAAAUAUUCUUGUGAUAAUAAAGUGCUGUGGGAUGAAA